AACGCUCGAGCGAGUAAGGCUCCUUCGGGAGUACACGAGCGGGGAAAGGGUGAGUAACACGUGAGCGUCUGCCCUUCGCAUCGGAAUAAGCGUUGGAAACGACGUCUAAUGCCGAAUAUGACCUCCUUUCGCAUGUUAGGAGGUGGAAAGCUCCGGCGGAGAAGGAUGAGCUCGCGGCCUAUCAGCUUGUUGGUGAGGUAAUGGCUCACCAAGGCGACGACGGGUAGCCGGCCUGAGAGGGUGACCGGCCACACUGGGACUGAGACACGGCCCAGACUCCUACGGGAGGCAGCAGUGGGGAAUAUUGGACAAUGGGCGAAAGCCUGAUCCAGCAACGCCGCGUGAGGGAUGACGGCCUUCGGGUUGUAAACCUCUUUCACCGGGGACGAAGCGAAAGUGACGGUACCCGCAGAAGAAGGACCGGCCAACUACGUGCCAGCAGCCGCGGUAAUACGUAGGGUCCGAGCGUUGUCCGGAAUUAUUGGGCGUAAAGGGCUCGUAGGCGGUUUGUCGCGUCGGGAGUGAAAACUCAGGGCUCAACCCUGAGCGUGCUUCCGAUACCGGCAGACUAGAGGUAUGCAGGGGAGAACGGAAUU
rnacentral:rRNA from 1 species